UACGAAGGGGGCUAGCGUUGCUCGGAAUUACUGGGCGUAAAGCGUGCGCAGGCGGCUUCUCAAGUCAGGGGUGAAAGCCCAGAGCUCAACUCUGGAAUUGCCUUUGAGACUGAGUGGCUUGAGUACGAGAGAGGUGAGUGGAAUUCCCAGUGUAGAGGUGAAAUUCGUAGAUAUUGGGAAGAACACCGGUGGCGAAGGCGGCUCACUGGCGCGUAACUGACGCUCAUGCACGACAGCGUGGGGAUCAAACAGG
rnacentral:rRNA from 1 species